rfam:Spirochaetes bacterium RBG_16_67_19 RBG_16_scaffold_15906, whole genome shotgun sequence.
GCCCAGAUGGUGAAAUUGGUAGACACGCUAGAUUCAGGGUCUAGUCCGCAAUACGCGGGUGGAGGUUCGAGUCCUCUUCUGGGCA